GGUGUGGGUGAGUGGGAGGGUCGUGGCAGAGGAGCUAGAUUGUGGAAAAGUAAUGGUAAUAAAAGUAUUGCUCAAGGCCACAUCUUUCUCAAAUCCUUUAUUAACUCAGAAAUGUCACCCCUACACCUAUUCAGAGGGGAAAAAAGGCAAUAGAUGUCAGCAAAUCCUCAAGCAACAGAACAUGUCUUAUAAUCAUCUUCAACCACCUGAAGUUUGAGAGAUAACAACUCCCAAGAUAAUCUCACAGUAUUGAAAUCUGUUUGAAGUGCUGACAAAGAAGUCAACUCACUUUUCUACUCUCACCUCUUAUUACUGUUUUAGUCUUGAGAAUAUAAAAGAUUUCUUUUUGGUGAUGAUUUUUUAAGAUGGAGGAGUAAGAAUGUCCGUUGCUCAGUAGCUAAGUUGUAUCCAACUCUUUGGGACCCCAUGGACUGUAGCCCUCCAGGUUCCUCUGUCCACAGGAUUUUCCAGGUGUAUUCUUUACGACUGAGGCUCCUGGGAUGCCUUAAGAAUGUAUGUUAGUACCAGGAAAAUAAGGAGUUAAGAGACCAUUCUACCAUGUUCUAGGACACUGUCGACCUUUUGGCUUCUGCUCUUCCACAUCUUGGCAAACUUUGAUGGAUCUAAGAGCUAGACUGAAACUUGAUCCCUUUGCCACUGCUCCCAAAGGCAACAUAAGAUGUCUUCUAUUUUCAUCAUGGACGUUUAUGAGCAAUACGAAACCCACUGAAUGCCAGAACCUCUGACCAUGAGGUCUGACUCCCCAGGGAGGAUCCCUUGGAGAAGCAUGGUCAAAGGUUUCUCAAGAGGCAGGUCAGGUGGUCUGGUAUUCCCAUCUCUUUCA